rnacentral:rRNA from 1 species
UUCGGUCUUUAGAGCGGUAUGGUACCACCUCUUCCCAUUCCGAACAGAGAAGUGAAACAUACCAGCGCUCACGAUACUGGGAUUCCUGGGACAAUAGGUCAAGGCCGAGG